UGGGGGAGUGUGUAUGGGAGAGAGUGUGUCAGUGCGCUGUCUCUUUAAGCCGAGCACGCAGGACCCUGAACGCUUGUUUAGUACAGCAGCAGCCGCAGCACCCACUCUUGAGCCAGAGGGAGCAACAAAGCCUGGCUCCCUGUCCUGCCACCCCAGUUCAGCAGAGACUACGUGGGGGAAGGGGGAUACUGUGACAUCAGCCCUUGCCUGGUGCUGCACAGCAGAUCAGGAGGCAGGCUCCCAAUCUGGAGCAGAUUGGCCAGCAGCGGCUCCAUGUCAGUGCAGAGAUACUGUGGCUGAGGGAACUAUAACCCUGAAUUUCGUCUUACGAGAUGUCAGUUUUCAAGGAUACAGGGCCAUGGAGAAGAUUCAAGCUGGGUAGAACAACCCUGAGGACAGAGAAGGAGGAGUGCCACCUCUAUGCCAUUGACUCCAUCUGCUGGGGACUCUGCAGAAGACACUCCAAGUGAAUCAGGUUCUGCUGAUUUCACGGGUGGGGACAGGAAUGAAGCCAAGGGCCUGUUGUUUUCUGGAUUAUCGUCCAGGGUUGUUCCUGCAGUGGGAGAAGGAAGCCUAACAUCAAGAUGCAAUCAUCUAAGUUUCCCUGUUUUUCUUCACAAUUUUUAUACUAUGACUACUUGUGUUUACAAUUUGUCACAUUUAAAAAUGGGCCUGAUCCAACAUCCUAAAGCUGAACACACCUGGAGUUUGAAAAAGUUUGUAUGUAGAUCCAAAUACUGCAACUGGCCCUUAUCUCGAUUACUAGACGAACUAUAUCUGAAGAACUUCAAACUCUAAGAAAUUUCAGAUGUGAAUCUUACAGUCUGGGCCCAUCUCUAGUUAUACUAAAAACAGAAAAGCGGAACAGCGUGAUGUAGACUGCCAGACUGUGUAAACUAUCCUGAAAUAACUCAUGAUGAUUCAUUUGAAUAAUCCUCUAUCACCUUUGUCAGACAGUGUUUAUGAAGCCUUAUUAAAAGUAAACCACACAGAAGAUUUCACAGAAUGAUAUUUGCCCAUCACAAAUGAUA